CGAGCCUGCCUCCCCCCACCCCCCCCAACCUUAGUUAUCUAUUCCCCCAGCUUUGCCAGCGCCUGUAAGUUACAUCUCGAGAGCCAGUAAGUUACAUGGCAUUCUAGCUAAAAAUACAGGCUUCUUCCUCCCGGCUCUAGUGCACCACAGAGACCCUGAGCUGGCCAGCUACUAAUGGAAUUUCUUCAUUUUCUCUCCAUUAUUAUGUCAGACGGGAUAGUUAAUACGGAGCCGUCUCCGGAGGGAAGCAGAUUGCUGCCAAGAGAAGGGGGUGGGUCAGAGCUGCAGGUGCUGUCCUGAAAAUGGGAGAGAGGAAAAGUCCGGCAGAUGCAUAGAGAAAUCAUAUACGUCCAAUGGAGAAGACGAGUCCUGAGCUGCAUGGCUUUCCUAGCCUGCCUCCUCCUCCCCACCCUAAAUGACAGAGUGAAGGGGCCCUGGAGUCGGCAAAGAUGCCUGGGUCAUUCCUUCCUCAAGAGGUCACUGGAACUUCCUCAAGAGGUCGCAGAGGUCGAAACACACCUAAUUCAUUCAUUGAGCCAAGGGUACUCAGCAAAGUGCUUUGGAUGACACCAGGGGUUGAUAAGAGCAGGGCUCAGGGACUAAAGGAUGAGACAUCAUCAGCAUAAGCCAUGGCAGGAAGGAAGCCGGACUAAAGGACAGGAUCGAAGAUUCAGAGCUGGCGGGGACCUCUGAGGACAUCUAGUCUAACCCUCCUAUUUUACAGAGGAGGAAACCGAAUCUUGGUAAGGUUAAGUGACUUGCCCGAGGUAAUUAAUUACAAGACUGCUUUGAAUCAAGGACCUCUUCAUCUAGCCUUCUUGUCACUGUUUCCAUGCUGCCUCAUCUCUAAGGUUCCUUCCAGCUAGAAAUGCUUUGAACUAAGACCACCCCUCUCUGCCCAAAUUUCUGAUGUAGCAACGAAAUCACGUGGGACAAUAGUACACCAUUCUCAAUUUCAGCUUUCUCAGCAGUGAGCCAGGUUAGAGACAGACUUCUGGAAAACAAUUCUCCAGCCAAUUUUGGAGAAAACGCUAAGCUGUGUGUAUGGCUAAAGUCCAUAGUUUUGAGAUCUCUGCUUCUGCCUGCUCCCCAGCAGUUUCCUUCCCAAGAGUGUUAUAACCUUAGCCCACUGACAGGUGCAGCCCUUGCAUGUCUGCUCUUGACCGUCUCCUAUCUCUCGUGCCCCUCACCCACAGGCAGGGGAGUCACCCUGGCUGUCAGAAACCCUGUAGCCUGUCGAUAAAGGAAAGUUACUAGUAGCUCCACCCAUUACCGAGAGAGGCAGGGGAAUUUAUCGGUUACCUGGGGCCUGGUAGACCGCUCUGGGGAUUUUGUAAACCAUGAAUAAAGAUGGGGAUGGGAAAGAAAUAGAUUUUCUUCACUUAUGCAUCUCUGCCCUCCCCAUCCCCACCCUCAACUCCUUUGCAUACUCCCAGCCUCGUUAUUCAAUUCAAUUUACUGAGUAUUAACUUAACAAAACAUAGGAUCAAACACAGCUCUGGUCCCCCAAGACCUUUCAAUCCUUUUGUAACACUUUUGAAAGUGAGAAAUGAAAAAUAAAAGAGAAAAGUGGAUUUUUCAUAGCCCUCCUGUCCAUAGAGGAGAGUCAGAACGCCCAGUGGGUAAUUAGUAGCAGCAAGGGAUCCCAAGCCCUGGAGUUUAUUUAAGGAGGUGAUCUGAGUCAAAUAUCAGCUCCCCCCACAG